rnacentral:rRNA from 1 species
GACCCCGCACAAGCGGUGGAGCAUGUGGUUUAAUUCGAUGAUACGCGAGGAACCUUACCAGGGUUUAAAUGCAGAACGACAGGGGUGGAAACACCCCUUCUUCGGACGGACUGCAAGGUGCUGCAUGGUUGUCGUCAGCUCGUGCUGUGAAGUGUCGGGUUAAGUCCCAUAACGAGCGCAACCCCAUUUCUAGUUGCCAGCGGUUCGGCCGGGGACUCUAGAGAAACUGCCAGCGUAAGCUGUGAGGAAGUGGGAUGACGUCAAAUCAUCACGGCCCUUACAUCCUGGGCCACACACGUGCUACAAUGGUACAGACAGAGGGCAGCCACCUGGCGACAGGAGCGAAUCCUUAAACUGAUCUC